AGAUUGAACGCUGGCGGCAGGCCUAACACAUGCAAGUCGAGCGGUAGAGAGGUGCUUGCACCUCUUGAGAGCGGCGGACGGGUGAGUAAUGCCUAGGGAUCUGCCUAGUGGUGGGGGAUAACGUUCGGAAACGGACGCUAAUACCGCAUACGUCCUACGGGAGAAAGCGGGGGACCUUCGGGCCUCGCGCCAUUAGAUGAGCCUAGGUCGGAUUAGCUAGUUGGUGAGGUAAUGGCUCACCAAGGCGACGAUCCGUAACUGGUCUGAGAGGAUGAUCAGUCACACUGGAACUGAGACACGGUCCAGACCUCCUACGGGAGCAGCGAGUAGGGGAAUA
rnacentral:rRNA from 1 species